UCAAAGCAUGAAAGAGUCAUCGUCGCGGUCCAAGAAUGAAGGUCGAUUUCGAAAGUGAAUUGAGACAACAUGAAGGACACUGUGGAAAGCAAAGCGGGCUACUUGUUUGGGCCAUAAGAAUUCACAUAAAGGCGUACAGAAAGUGCAUUUCACUCUUUGAUAAACGCGUGUGGAAGCAACCUCUAUUAUUUUUUGAUAAAAGAUCUUUCUCCACGUCAUAGAGCUAUACUUGAACGUUUUAAAAAUACUUACAUAGAGUUAAACAUACGAUAAGAUUUAGCUUAGCAUUAAAUAUAGAACAAGAAAGAAAAAGGAGGGAAAACUGUGAGAAUAAUUUAAAACCGGAUAGCAAGGAAACGCGUAAAUUCAGUUGGUUCGCGAAUAGUCGGUUUCCAACUAAGUUCUGUUGUUCCAUGCGUGAAUGAGGGCGUAUUACUUAACGUCGACGUAGAGAUUGACCAGCUGAUUACAUAAAAUGUUGUCGAUUUGUGUCAUGAUUUUCGGCAUCGACAUUGAGUUAGAAGCGAUUUCGCAUGUGCGUAUGUGCGCACCACCAAGAUCGGCUCAUGAUCCGAAAUUCACCGCGUACAUUCGCUUACGAAAGUGGCCACAUAAUUUUUGUUAUGGAUUACACGAUUGAAUAGUCUCACGCAACUCAUGGGCCGACCAUGAAUCGUCACGGCCUUGAACCACUAUGUCCACCAUAGUUUCGUCGUUUCCAAUAACGAUCAGCCAAAUUUCACUCGUGAUCGUAGUCAAAAUUGGUGAUAGCUGUCAACUUGCCCCACACGUAUGAUCCAUAAGUAUGAAAUACCUGUUAAUUUUGUUAUCUUUCCAACUGGAAUUCAGUUAGAUUACUGAGUCGUUGCAGUUAGGAAAGGAGCUAUUAAUGAAGUUUCUUCUGCUAAGAAAAUGAGAUGAUUAUCACGAAGAAGCGUUAAGUGACACGUGACAGGAUGUUCGUUAAUUCCUCGAAACGAUUUUCUCGCAAAGAAUUUCGAAGAUACGGAAGAGGAGCUUCGCGCGAGAAGAUAAUUAUUUGUGCCUAUACAGUGGGUGCCAAGGAUGAUUAAUUAUGCCUCUGUAAACUAACUGGCCAGCAACUUAUCUACAUCCACCCAGCAUGCUCUCUAUGCUGGUGGACGGUUUGGUAACCCGUUGAAUUUCGCUUUCAAUACAACUCGGUCGACGAGAGAAUUCUCGUCAAGGCCAAUCGAGAACGGACUUGAAUGGAUGUCGUCAUUUAUCAUCGGCCAGCCGGUCACCGAUUUGUACACGGACGCGGAGUCUCGAGGACUACCUACUACUUUAACGUCCUACCCUUUCUUCUCCUGUUUCUCUCUCUCUCUCUCUCUCCCUCUCUUCAGUCAAAGGAAAAAUACCAGAAAUCAAGAUUUGCCUUCGUGGAUGCCAAGAAAAUCGACAAAUAUUGACUAUGGAGUUUGCAAAACGCGCCAUAUGCCGUUGAUCAUAUCUGUACAGAGGCUAUUAGAACCGAACAUCUUCUAAUUUGUCCAAGUUUCUUGUUCGAAUCUAUUUAACUCGUGUUUCCUGUUCAAACAUUGAACGAAGAUUUUGUGCAACGCAAAUUAGAGCCCUCUUGCACAAUACCUCACUAAUAAUAUCAGUGAAUUCAUACAGAUUACAGGUUGUAGAUUAUAGACCAGUGCUCUGUAACAUUACUUUACAAUUGCAUUACAAUUCUUCCGUGGAAUAGGAUAAUCAAAUGACUUGUAUUUGUCAAAUGGGAGAUAUUCAUUGCGUUACUACUCCUUGAUGUCUAAACUUCUUAAAUUCAUAAAUUUAUUUAUUGCAAGAAAGUUACAUAAAUAACAAUAAAUUCUAAGAUAGAAUUAAAGAACAGCAACUGCGUGUUAUUACUCUUCUGUAACUUUUAAUCGAACGUGGCCUUUGAUAACGUCUCAUUUAUUAAAAUCAACUUCGAACUUGUUACUUGUAAAAUGUCACUAAUAAUCUAAAGCAACUGUGCAAGAUGAUCCAGAUGUCACAGAUCAUCUUUGUACAAAGUCUAUUAGACUAAAAACAUCCUCAUUUUUUUCUCAUCCAAAUUUGUAUAACGUGAUCUGAUUUGAAAAAUUUGAAAAACGUUUGAUAAGGACAUCAGCGUAUUGUAAGUUCUAAGACAUGGCAUGGGAUAGGAGUAUCGAUCCAGCGAUAAAGGUAUCGAUUUUCGUGCCAAGUAGGAUGGAGCGUCGGCAAUGAUUCGUCGGCUCUGCGAUGGAUCGCGAUCGCGUGGCUCGAUCGUCUCGUUUGCUUGCAAAAUGAAAAGUCGAAAACGCGCCGAGCAAGCGAAAUACCUCGCGAAUAUAUUGCGAAAGCUGUAUACAUUAUAAUGGGCCGGGCGCAGAAAACGGGCCAGCGGCGACUCGAUGAGUCUUGGUGGGUCUCGGUAGCACACGAGGACUCGAUGAUUCGAUAGCUCACGGUGGCACACAGUGUCUCUGUGCGUACGUUACGCAAGGAAUCAUUCGCUCGUGCCUGCGCUCGAAGCUGUGUCUCGACACUGGAAUCGUCGUUAACUAUGGGAUGAACAAACCACUGACCUCAAUAUCCACGCUGGCUAAAUGUUUCGUUUCACUGGCAACAACCGCAAGAAACGACGCAUACUGUUGUAAAUUAAUGCACCGCGGUGACUCGAUCGCGAUUUACAUACGCUGUGAGAUAGGUCAGUCUUUUCGACAGUAUCGUGGAAUCACGUUGUACAACUGAUCGAUACGACAUAGACAUUGUGACACCAUUACGAAGUAAUUGCACAAUCACACGUGACCCAUCGUACUAGACUGUUAAUUGCUGGAAGGUGUUGGGUCGCGUCAAGGUUGGGAACUGUAGAUAAGUAAAAAGUGGGGAGGCCUAUGAAAUUGAAACGUAUACGCGACGCCAUCGACCAAAUAAACCGAGAGCAACACAAUCUCGUUUAUUUCUGAAAGAAGAAUUUCGCGAUGUGCAGCAUCAAGGUGUGAACAAGAUUCUUGUAAUAAGUCUUGUAAAGACAUUUCCGACGUUGGAAUACAACUUGAAGAAUCGAUGUGUCCCUCCUAAUUUCAUUUUCGUUCAAUAAUUGCAACUCUUUAUCAGUCACGCAAGAUACCCAUUGCUGUUAUAAAAGCUUGAAGAAGCGUGCAAUAGAAUGUUACAUUGUUCCUCAUGAAAUCGAUACAAUAGCUCGCUGUUAGCAAUAGCGAGGAUCUUAAUUAUUCAAGUGGAUUAUUGUCGGCCAGAAAUGAGAUUCUAAAUUCUGUGUUCUAUAUAUCGUCAGAAUGUUACCUGCAGCUAUGAUAGCUACGAUCAUUGAACAGGAAGAAGACAGAAGACCUUAGAGAUUCACCGUAUAUCAUAAUGUUACGUAAAAUACGACCUAUUUGUAAUUCGAAUGAGAGCCAACAUGGCGACAAAUAACUUGUCUUCUCCUUCGAGAAUCGUGUUUUAUGUAUCAAACACAACAAUAAAACAGCAAAGAAAUAUCUUUAACGUAUAUAGCGCAUGUCGAGAUAUCUUUGAUAUAGAUUUGGUAUUUCAGAUAAUUUUUAUCGUAAAAAUUUCACAGGAAAUUAGACUUGAUGUAUACUUUCGCGACAAGCUAACUUUGAUGUUCGAAUAUAGUUUGCCAAAAAAAGAAGUAUAAUUCGUGGAAACCCGUUUCGUGGAAAGUUUUACGCUUAUUAUGACAUCAUAGUUCGUAUCGCACAAUGACAUAAUCUAUAUUUGUACCAGCGAGUAAUUCAUGAUACGAAUUGUCGGUAAUUAUGUUGUGUAUAAGAUUAUGAUGCUAAAGUGACGAAUACAUUGCGAUCGGUUGUACAUACGUGUGAGUCACAGUAUUCGACGGAAACUGAAGCUGUCAAGCAAUUAUGCUGGCGUAUAGCUUUUAAUCUUUAAUCCUAGCGUUCGGUUGGUACAACAAAGACUUGUUGGAUUGAAAGCGGUAAUGUACGGCGACAAGACUGUUUAUGUCGCAUCUGAAAUACUCAUAUUACCUCGAUAAAUCUUCGAUGAAGAGAGUGACAUCGUAAACAAUAUCUUUGAGAAAGUGAAAAUUCAUAUCCUUGUAAACAGAAUUGACGAAAUGGAACUCACAGACAGAGGAUUGUUUCACUCAUUAAAUAUCAUAUAGUGCCUACUUUAUUUUAGAUAUUUUAUGUGUCUCUGUAAUAGACAUGAGACGCAAUUAUAGACUCAAUUAUAGACUCCAGUAUAUAAUGCUUUUGCAUUUUCAAAUUUCCUCUAAAUAUAUAAACGUUGUAAAUAUGUAUAAACAUAAGUUUAGUAAUAUUAUUAUCGAUAACAAAAAUAGAAUAGUAGUUAUAUAAAACAAAAAAAAAGAAGGUAAGGCCAAUAAACGUAAAAAAUAUGUACAUAAUUGUAGCAAUUGGUAGUAAUGAUAUAAAUCGUACAUACAUAUAAACAAUUUUACAUAAUAAAUAGAAUUAAUUAUAAGCUUAUUAAUAUUAAUUUAUUUCAUUUAUUUCGCAUAUUAUUGAUUUACGAUUUCUAACUUUAUUAAUCUACUUUUUAUUAUUUCGUGAUGAGAGCAGAUAACGUCAAAUAUCAAAGGUGUAACCACUAAUAAUUUAACGUCUAUAUAUAAUAUAUAUUGGCGAGCUAGCUCUUUUCAUGAAUCACGAUUGAUUUGAAUCUUUAUUCCGAGACUCAAUCAGUCGAUCAAUUUUCAAUGUGUUGUUUAUAGUGUAAGAUAAGAAUGAAUAUAAAAGCUUUUGAAAUACGUAAGAUCUCAUUGCAGGGAUAUUAGGAGAGUUUAUAAAAGAUUGUGCGAUGAUGAUUACACGCUACAUUUUUAUUUGAUUGAAACCGCAGCCAGCGGAUCUAUUUGCCCCCGAUAUAUCUAAAUAUACUGCCAUUUAUUGGGAGUUUAACGAAACGAGAGAUGGUCCUUAGCAAAUACGCGAAAUUGCAACAUCGUUGUGCAAGAAAUUUGUAAUUGGCGUUAUACAAUACCGCGAGUUAAUAAUAUGGAACUAACCGACGCAGCAGUAAUACACAAUUUAACGGUAGUUCGAGCGUGCCACGUAUAUAGAAAAUAAAUUUUCGACGGAAAUUGUAAUCAAGCUUGCGGUCGAAACGAAAACAUUACACAUUGUGAUUCUUUAAGUUAAGUAUAUACAGGGAUUAUUUAUCGUGCCUCAAACGAUCUUACGAGCGAUCAAGGUGUGUUGCAAUGGAAAGGUCUGGCUCCAAUUAAAUUAGAUUCUACUACUGUGACGGCUAUGAAACGCAAGACAGAUGUUUCAGUUUGUUUAACAGGACCCCGGUCUAACCGGUUUCUAACGCUUGUAUCUGCGAUGCGUGAAAUUCGGUCAACGCAUAAUCGACCGCGUGGAUCGUCAAAAUUCGCGAAACGUUAAUUCGAGAGGGCAGACUUUGGAAUAGUUCGAGGUCUCUGAACCAGUACUGGAACAUAUCCAAUCCGUGGUAGAGCGAUCGUGAAAGUGGUUUCGCGUGCAUGUCUAUCCUCGAUACGCGUCGCGAUUCGCGAUGCCGAUUGGAGCAAGAUCGAAAUUUCGUCGAUGUUUCGUUUUUCUUCGGUUACUAUGUCUUAGGUUUUAGGCUACCAUAGCAGAUACCUUUUUUAACCAACUAUAUCGUUCUAUAGGUGCGUUUAGAUUUAUGAUCAAGCGAGUGAAUGCUCGUUCUUACCUCACUGUAGUAGAAUUAACGCGUAAACAUUCUGUUUCUAUUUCACGAUCAAAGAAUGCAUUUAUAAUUAUAACUUCUUCAUCAGAUAUCGUUGUCACGAGAUCGAGCGAGGUGGAAAUAACUAUUUAAUAUUCUAUAUACUUUAAUAGUCUAUUUUCUACGAAUAGGUAUGUACGUAAGUUUUCGGUUUUUGGUGUAAAUGACUUUACGAACAGAUUGUUCGAAACCCGUUUACAUCAAAUGAGUACGAGUGAAUGAUCCCAAUCUCCCCGUAUAAUCUUGCUUCUUUAGUCUCAAUGCACCCUAACGAAUACGUUAGAGCAGUCAAAUACGCGUAUAAACUCUUAUGAGUGUUCACAUUUCGGUUUUCAGAUGUUUGAUUCAAAUCAGAACGAUAGUUCUUUGGGACAAGCAUUCACUGUGAUCAUAGUCUUAACAAUAUUUUCCAAUUCAUCGUGACUCAACUUCGAUCGAAGCUCGGUUGAUUGCUGGAACAAUGAAAUUGAAGAUUUCUGCAAUUCGUUCCUCUGAUUUGGAGAAAUAAAAAAAGAUCCAACUUGUUUCAUAUUUAGGUUUACGUCGGUUUCAAGACAAUUCAUUUGGGGCCGCGAGAUUUCACAGUUAUUUCUAACAUGUCACGUGAAAGUGACCGCGUCAGGCGUCAAUUUGUAUGUCUCGUGACAAGCCUAUAUUUAGGACAAACGGAAUUCCAUCAACAUGGAUAAUAAUUUCGAGUAUCGACGUUCUGCAACGGGGAACUGCAGCAUAGAUUGAACGUAGGGUUGCUCUGUCUUGUUAAUUUUGUCGUAGUACCAUACAAUACGCUACAAACCGUGUAGCAUCGUAUAGAUCGAAAAGAAGUUACGAUGAAUGUAUCGUAAACGAACGAAGGAGCAGAAUAAAAGAAAAGAUAGGAACAUAAGAUAAUUGUUCUAUUUUUCAAUCGAAUAUUUGCAACCACAGAAAAUUUAUAUGAAUAAAUUAUACGUGUCAUAUAAAACAUUUUGAAAUUUCAUUAACACGAGACACGACUGUUAUGAUUGUAUUGGUCAAAUUUGAAACCGAUUGGAAAAUGUACACGAAAAUUACAAAAUAUUUACUACAAGCGAGUGAGCCGUCACUUCAUCAAUUUUCAAAUAAGAUUUGUUCAAAUGAAAAUGAAAUGAAAUAAAGGGAUUUCCAUACAAAUUUUAAUGUACAGUUUAGAUUUAUUUUCGCGCGUAGAAUAACCUUUUGUCGAUUAUUCACUUCUGUCAGGCCGGCAUUAGUCGUUUAAGUAUGUUUGACCAAUUUCCAAACUCGGUUUUCCCGAGAAUGAAGCGCCAUAUGAACAAAUUUCAUUCUAUGGUCUCGAUUUAUUUUCUCAUGUAGAUAGAAUCAGUUCCUUUGCGUCGAUUAUAUGAUCAUUUCCGAGGCACUCCGUAUAGACUUGUAUUCGAUUGUGUCGCGGUGAUACAUGACAGAGCAGUCGGUGAAACGGCAUACGGCGGGAAAGUCGAAGGCGCGUGGCUUGUAGCCGCGUCGCGCCGGCACGAAACUGCAGGUUUAACUAUUAUGGAGCGACGCAACCGGCCGGUGAUCUUAAGUAAUACGCGAAUUGUUGCGCGUUCGAGUAACAAAAUAAAAAGAGAUGUAAGAAAACCAUCGGCGGGAGGAGAAAAGGAGAACAUGUAGCUGUUUUGAGGAGCAUUAAGUGAAGAGACAGAGAGCAAAACUUCAUUGGUGGAGAAAGAGAGAGAGAGAGAGAGGGGGGGCGGGAGAGAGGCAGAGAGGAGGGCAACGAGAGAAAGGAAUAAGCAGACAUGCCUCGUUGUUGACACUCACGAGAAAUUGCGGCCACGUAUUCGCAAAUAGAAGUGUACGACAUGCUUUUCAGCUGAUUGUAGAUCGCACGAGUACUCUCUGUCGAUUGAAUCAUACAUCUUUUAGCGUUCUGAACCGCUUAUUCGUGCACGGAUCUUCCAUCUUCGCAUCUUCUCGUCGCGACCUCGACCGUCUCGCUUCCGGUGGCUCUGACACUUCAAGGAUCUUUGUUAAUUAAACAUACGCUAUUGUAUGUCGAGUAUUAUAGUAUUUGUAAAGAUUCCGUCACUGACAAAUUAAUCCUCUAAUUUUGAUUGUAUACGUAAAUGAUAGGACUGCGAUGAACGAUAGAAUUUUAUUACAGUGGAACUCUGUUUGUACGAAUUUCGUUUACUGGAACAAACUUUUAGUGCCCAAUUAAUGGAAGUGCUAACUGAAUCCAUUUAUCUGAACGUAAACUUCUAUCCAUUUAUAUGGACGAGAAAUAAUAGGUAGCGGAGAGAAUCAAUAUGAACUCCAAUUACGUAAACUAUUUGUCCUACUAUAUUCUUACUUUCCAAGUGAAAUCUUAGAGUUAGAAAUAUUUCGUGAACAGAAGGACAGCUUCUUUGAUCGGGCAAAUUUUAAUUUCAUGUUCUGCAAGGUACUAGAACCGCCAACAUUCACUUCUCCCUCUUACUAUGCUAAGUCCAGGAGCGAGAUGACCUGGUCUGCAUGUUGCAAAAUCCCUACCAGUUUGACUAAUUGCAAAUCGUGAUAGAAGCUACAAAGAAGAAAGUUUCCACACACACACGGAAAACUGCUUCGUUAGCAAGGCCGGUACUUAUAGUUUUUCAGUCGUCAUCGUUCAAUAUUUCGCGCUUUUUCACGUAUGUUAAUUAGACAUGUCGGUAAACGGUCGGAGAUGUACGGAUGUUUAAAAAAUAACUCAUUCAAUUCAAAUUCACAAAACAGCCACAAGCACUUACGUCGAAUAUGUGUAUUUAUUCCACUCCUCGAUUGGCAUGACUUUGGAAAUACGUACACGUAACAAAAUCGCGAUACGUGAAAUCGUCGAACGAGACCAUGUCGAGGUCACGAUAGUUUCUGUAUUCACGACGUUAAUUAGAUACGUAAUUUUAUCGUACGCGGAAAGAAAGGGGAACGACUCGAGUCAUUGGCAAUUGCCUCUGAUCUUUGUUUCGCGCCACGAAUUCAGACUUGAAACGGUCAUCUACCGGUGUAUAAUAAAUGCAAGUAAUAUAACGAGGUCAGACGAUCGGUCAAUGGAUAAAUUUACAAUUUUACAAUUUUCGACGAAGGUAUCAUUGUAGGUUCACCGAUUGAUUUUAAAUCAAUUUCCACAAUUAAUAGCAGUUCGACAAUGCAUUAUAAUCAGUGAUGCUUUCAGAAUAUAUGUAAAUUAGAAACAAACUAUAACCGUUUUUUUUUACAACGCGACAAUUUUUUGUAGAUAUAUUACAAAGGAAGAACUGAUUUACAAUUGACAUCGUAUGGAUCUAAACGAAGAUCUUUUAGACAGAUAUUAAUUGUUGCGACCAUCGAAAGUUGUAAACUCCAAACACUGUCUGAUUUUACGACUUCAGCGUAUCGUUUCCAUCUACUAUACGUGUAUCGUAGUAUUCGUCAAAUUAAACUAUUUAUUUCACGCAUCAUACAUCAUUGAGAUUGCGGCGUUGACUAUGUUUAUGUUGGAUGCAUCUAUUAUCGUUAUUGACUAUCGCUCACUGAAUGGACUACGAACCUGGUCGAGUAUUAGGAAAUACCUGUAUAUUUUGACCAGUUUUAUCCGCCAUUUUUAUUGCGAAACAAAUUAUUAGUGUUCAUUACAAGUGGUAGAGAUCUGGUGGCAAGUAUUCACACAUUAAUUCCAAGUACUAUUAGCAAACGUAUUGAUUGGUGUUUGUAAAAGGCUCGAGCGGAUUGUAGAGGUUGCUCGACCGGAUAUACCGAACGUAAGGGAACAUACAGCAGCAGCUUUAUUGCGCGCAACGUGCGAGGGUUUACGUUCACGAUUAGAUAUACGACGAAAGAAUGCACGCGUUAAUUCAUUAAACACCACACAGCAAAAUAAUGUGUACACGUUGCAGAAAUACAACAUUAUUAUAAAAUGUAAAUGAAAUAUCCGUUACCGUUUUAUCAAGUCAAAUAUAUUAGAGUAAUAGAUUUUCAAUAUAUUGAAGGAACCUAUUACACAAAUCGGAAGGAAAUCAGAAACAAAAAGAAUGUUUAUGAUACGAAAACUGUUAGUUUCUUCUUGACCAAAAUCGAUAUAAAAUACUUCGAUUUCUGCAAAUCUCAUAAAAUUUAAUAUCUAGAUCGAAGAAAUUCUUAUGAUUCUGUUUUUGAUUAGUUGUAAUGUUAAUUCAAAAGAAUUCAAUAAUAUCAAUUCACUUGUGGAUAAUGUAAACUGACUGUAAUUGACUGAAAAGGAAUUACAAAUGAAAUGUGGCGUUAACUCAACUUUAAUCCUUAAUGAGUUAACACAUGGAGUAAAACAACUAGGAGAUAAGUCGUCAGGGAUGACGUGACACACAGAUGACGUGAGACACAGACAAGGUCAGAUACCUCGAUUUCCUACAAAACAUCUUCGAGCGAUUAACAAUUAAAUUACUCUAAACUAGUUUUUUCCUUAUUUUGAAAGGAAAAAUUUGGGGGAAGUUGAUCCAGUCACGCUAGUUUUUUCUUCUACGAGACAAAACUUCUAAAAGACACUUUUAGCGGAUAAAACAUUUAACAUUUUAACCGGUUCUUCGUUAUAUCUUUGUUGAACAGUGACGUCACUAUGUCUUUCUUAAAUUUGAUUUCUGUGAAAAAUAACGUUAUCGUAUCCUUCGUGAUGAUAAUAUUUUUCCUGAAUGACAAUCGCUGUUACAGUAUUAACGAUAUCAAGGAGAAAUCACAUGCGCUGCCUCUCAGGCACGUUCGAAUUAAUUACAUAACGUUCUUGUGACUUUUAGUUUAAGAAUGCUAAACUGCGUCGAAAUAUUAUUAACGAAAAAAAAAAAAAAUGUCACAUUAAAAUAAUUACGCAAGCCCAUGUUGCAUCAUGCAACAUGAAAACCUCAAUGUGGUAAAUCGUUGCUGUGUCAUCCAACCCGAUAAUAUGACAGAUCUCAAUAGUUAGCAAGUAACAACAGCUCGCAAGGAGAUUCGGGACAAAAAAAAGUUGAACAUGUUCGACAAUCAGUACAGUAUUUGCUUCAGUGUUAUUUCACGUAAUCUUGAUUGUUAUUCCCAUAAACAUAACAUCGACGUUUAUUAUGCCAACUAAUCGAAUAUAUGCAACUGUUUUUACACAGUUCUGUUUUCCGAUCGUUUGUUGUCUUUAUGAAUUUUCUAGAUACGAAAACAUUCCUAAUUAAAACACGUCAAGGCAGAGGCUCAUUGGUGAGCGGAAUACAAAAACUUCCAGAAAAUUCUUUAGAAUUCCAAUGUUUUAAAGGAAGGACAAAUUAUGAAGAAACAAUUAAGAAAAACAAACAAGCAAAUAGUAAAUAACGUAUACUUCAAGCACGUUUUUGCCACAUGCACAAAGCAUGUUCAAGAAGUCACGUUUGUUCCCGCGAAUCGCUUUCCUCGUCCAUUUCUGAAAUUUCAUCGGGCAAGAUUAUUACACACCGAUUAACCUUUUUUCUUCCAAAAUCAAAGCUAGGUAGGACGAACAAGUUCUCCAUAAUAAGAAGCGCGGGGAAAGUACAUAGCUGCAUGAAGCUGCAACCUGUCGAGAGCUAUGAUGAUUUAAUGGUACUUCAAGGCGGUAUAUUGGUUAGAAAGAAGAAGCAACCCGAUAGUAUCCAUUUACGUAACGAUCGUAUUAAAGUCUUUUCUUGACAUAGUUCGAUAAUCACGAAAAAUACGCGCAGAAUAGAUGAACUAUUGCCAGUUGUACGAAAUUAAGAAGACUUUAUGUUGCGCGGGAGAUUUAACUAUUUGAGAGCUCCACCUUCUCGUGGAUUGAUAAUUUGUAUUAACCACGUAGUAGUUGUGCUAUGCAAUUACAGUAUUCCAUUUGCAAAUUGUUUUCUUUAUUAUGUGAGAUAAGUCGAUAAUUUAAAUUGUAUAACAAUUUUGGUUCAUCACUAGACUGCGGAUUCGUAUUUAUAUGAAGAUAAAUAAAAGCGUAAAACUUUUGUUUCAUUUAUCAGAUAUUAUACCUUGUUUAUAUAUUUUUGUAUAUUAUGUACUUUAUAGUUCCUCACUUUUAAAUUUUCCACGAGUGCACAAACAUCCGCAGUCUAUUCAUCGAAUUACCGAAUAGAAAGCUAUAUAUGUAAUUCUGUUAAAAGAUCAAAUGACAGGAAGCGUAUAAAGAUUUUCUUCAUUCAAAGGAGUUCUAAAUCCAAGAAUGUUUCCUUGGUAUCGAGGAAUGUUACAAUUAUAAUAACUUACUGAUUGGAUUUUUCCGACCUACAGUAGAAUAUAAAAGUAAUCAACAAUCUAGCGAGAAAUUUAAAAAGUACAGAGAGAAAGCAAAACUCGUUUCGGUUUCUUUCAGAAAAUUUGCCGGGUGUCGCAACGUCCUCUCACGUAAUAUGUAACCAAGUAGAUAUGUUGCCGCGUGAUUGCCAGAGCGCGUUCAAAUCACCGCGUAUCCAGAGCUAUGUGAGAAAUCAUCGAUCUGUGAUAAAUUUCGAUAAUCGAACACUAGUUAUGCGUAAGCUCUCGGUCGCUAGGCCUCCAUAAUAUCCAAAACGAAUUGCCUUGUUCACCAGUUCGUAAGACCCAAGGAAUUCCAAUGGUACUCCACCCAAUACUUUUAUAUUACAAACAUAUACACAACAUUAAUGUCGAUUAAAACGAUUCGAGCCACUCAAAGAUAAGUCACGUUACUCUCUUAACUAUAUCUACGUGUACAACAUUUUUUAUCAAUAAGGAACAUCCUGGAAAUAAACGCGUAAAAAAUCUAAAGUCUAUUUACGAUGCUCAUGAUGUUAUUUUAAUAACAUUUUGUUGAGCAAUACGCAUUUAUUUUGAUCAGUAUGUAAACAUGUGACAUUAGGUUUUAACCAACCAUUUCGAAUUCAUCGCGAACUACGGCAGCCAGAAACUUCCGUCUCGCGCGUAUCCAAGGCUGUUAAAGCCUAGAGGUCAGACGUUCAAGUCGUUCUUUGGUAUUUGAGCAAGGAAUUGUUUCACGCGCGAUGUUUGUCAGAGGAACAUAUAUCGUUAACUAAUAUAUGAUGAAAGUGCGUAAAUGAUUAGUGCGGCUGUGUUAUUGACCCAAAUUGUUUUUCUUAAGUGUGUGAACCGAAGCGCACUUAUGAAAAACUAUGAAAUGCAACUAAAUACAGCAACAUGAAUACGAUUGCAGUUCGAUUUUAUGGAAACAUAAUUUCAAGCUUAUGUAAUCGACCAAAGAGGAUGCACUUCGUUCUUCAUUGUAUUUAAAAUUCUAUCUAAAAUAUAGGUAAUAUGAAUUAUAUACAUACAGGUAAUAAUUAUUAAUAUUGGAAAUAUUCUACCUUCCCUUUUGUAAUUAUAUCAGCGAACAAGAUGUUCCUUAAUUAAAAAUUCUUCUUUGUUAUUUAUUAUUUUCGCUAAUACCUAGAGAAUUACGAAAGGAAUAUUAAUACCGCGAUAAAAAAAAAUCCCCACAUAAUAGUUAUUCAUGAACAAGUAAUUUUGGACUAUAUUUCAUCAUGGACAUACAUUACUGUUCAUGAUUAUUCGAACGACUACAAAAGUCUAUGGGCAUUGAAUAAUUGAAAUUUAUUUAAUUAAUACAAUGAAGAAGACAGUGUUCAAAUUCUUCAUUGUUCCAAUAAAAUAUAUUGUUAUAUAUAUAAUAUAUAUUAUUAUAUAUACAACAAUUUAGUAAUUAAUAAUUAAUAUAGUAUUAUAUAUAUGAUUGUUCCAAAUAAAUAUAUUAUAAAAUAUAUUAUUACAGUAGACUCAUCCAACCGAGUAUCCUUUUGUCGGCUUUUACAUUUUAGUUUUAUAAUAACAAAUUUUUAUAGACAUAUAAAAGUACUUUGCAUGAUACAAAUUUUAAAUAUGUUUGUCAGAGAAACAUAUAUCGUUAACUAAUAUAUCAUAAAAGUGCGUAAGUGAUUAGUGCGGCCGUGUUAUUGACCCAAAUUGAUCAGCCUAAUUAAUUAGUAGAUAUGUAAAUGUUACAAUAUUUAAAUAUACCAUUAUAUUCGUAUCAUUAGCAAUAAUUAUGAAUAGCUCCGUAUAUCACUGUCAAAUAUAUAGAUAUCUAAAUAGAAUUUAAAUAAACAUUUUCAAUUAUACCAGUACUUAUUGUUAUCCACCAAUAUUGGAAAGCAUAUAUUACAAUUUUUAAAUAUUCAAAUUUCCAAACAUUCACAUUAUCAAACAUCUACAUUUCUCAAUACGUAUUUGCAAGUAUAUAAAAAGGGAGAAGAAUUAAAACAAAAGAAUUAAGAGUACGUUUCUGCAAUUUUAAUGAAUGAAUGAUUUAGGCCAUUACGUUGACGACGGAGAAGCUUAAACGUUUCUGAAUAUUCGUUCAAUUUUUCAGGAAGUCUGCCAAUCAUGCAAGGACGCCGCAUUUCGAGAUUCGAAUUGGCAAUUAGACAGAUUCAAGAUUCGCGUCUUCCGGUUGUGGAUCUCGAGGAUUAAUAUGCGUUUCGAAUCGUGCAGGGAAUCUGAGGAAUACAAAAAAUGAUCCUUCGUUUAAAAGUUAAUGGGUCGCACAACGUAAAGGAAACAUUAAAAUUCGCACGGGACAAUGAACAGUGACGAUAUUAAGUUUUACGAAAAUUAGAACAUCUAUAGACACGUAUAUCGUAAUUAGCAAUUUGGGAAUCAACUUUCUUGUUAUUUCUCGUUUCAAAUUUCGUGUUUUCCAACCUGCAUAAAUAUUGGGUGAGUAAAUAUUGGAGAGACUAGAGGCGAGACUGGUAAUAAAACAAAGUAAUCGAUUUUCGAUAUAUGUGUUUGGAAUGUGCAUGUAUAAACUGAUAAUUAAAAAAUGAUACAGCAAGAAUAGAAGCCUCGCGUCAUAAAAACUGACAUUUUGUGUACAAAUGAGUCGAUAUCUACUCUAUUCCUAAUUGCUUUGAUAAUAAUAUGUUACGCACGUAAAUAGUAAAUUAUUUUUAGUUCAUCUCUUGUAUCUCGCGUAAUGUCUAACUUGGCCUCUGCGAAUCUAAUGAAAUUAUCGUCGAAGACGUUAAAUGUCUGAAGGGAUCGUUAUCGUUGUUGUUGUUUCAGAUAUUGAAUAAUAUGGAUUUAAAGAUAAUGAUACUUAAAGAUUUAAUCGUUUAAAAUCAAAUUUGACAAUUUUUAAGCAACUUCACGGAUCUGUGCGACCCAAAAUGAAAAUUCUAUUACAUGAAUAUUAUUAAAAUAUAGAUAGCGCUGAAAUGUUUGGUUUUAGUAUUCAAUAUAUCCAAAUAUUAUUACUUUUUGUGUAUACUACGCCUUUUGUGACUAAGGUAUCUCAAAAUGUGACAGUGAAAAGAUAUCUAAAGGAAUGCAAAUGUGAAGGGACGAGGAGAAUAGCAGUGUUCGAAUCGAAAAAAGAUCGAAUCGAAUCGCAAUUUUUCAAGUUCGAAACCAACAAUGGAAGUUUGUACGACGACGAAGACCACCUAGCAGGCAAACCUAAGUACCUAAGUACACGCCUUAAAGAAGCGCGACGCGAUGGAGUAGAACGUGAAUCGAAGUCAAAUCGACUGCUCACGUGGUUCGUGAUUCACGGGACAAAACAGCGUGUGAGAGGAAGACCGUAAAGAGAACGUCAACAGAGGGAAAUGUCUUAGCGUUUACGCCGAGGAGAGUACUGUUACGAGUUGAUAGGUUGGUUCAGUGACAGGAGAAAAUAUCACUGUUAUAUUUAUCGGGAGCAGUUUUAUGCCACGCUACGAGUUCUUACGAGAUAAACACACGAAGCGCCGUGUUGGCAGUUUCAAGAUAUAUGUAGGUAAUAUAUAUUGCGCGCGCGUGUAUUCAAUAAGAAACAACUUUGUCUACGCGUGUGCAUAUCUUUUUCGGAGCAAUUAUAUCUAAGCACGAUAUCGUGCAGUGAUAAGUUUCGUAUCACUUGGUUCACUCAUAUUGCUUGAAGUAAUCGCGCGUUAUUUGCUACCGAGUAAUUGCGAGAUAAGACACUGGCCCAGAAACGUAUAAUAGCGAUGAGCUUGACUUUUUCAUUUUUAUUAACGACGAUUAAAAUUGCACUACCUGUAACGCAUACGAAUAAUCAAAGGGUGAAUAGAAGGAAGGAGGGAGGGAGGGAGGAAGAGAAAGAGAGAAAGAGAGAGAAAGGGAGACGCGCGUAAUUUUUGGUCGAGUCGUUGUGGUACGGUAGAGACCGCGAGGCGUAAAAAUAAAUGAACAACCGGUGAAUUAUCGUUUCGGUGAGCGAACCGAAAGAGAGGCGGGUGUACGAAGUCGUUUCCGUGGGACGGCGUCAAUUCGUUACGUCAUGUCAAAAGGAAAAACAACCGCACGAAGUGGUUGCGCUUCUAUUGGAAGCGAGCGUGGCAGCGUUA